UACGUAGGUGGCGAGCGUUGUCCGGAUUUACUGGGCGUAAAGAGCGCGCAGGCGGUCGUUCAAGUCGCGUGUGAAAGCCCCCGGCUCAACUGGGGAGGGUCACUCGAUACUGAUCGACUUGAAGGCAGGAGAGGCAAGCGGAAUUCCGGGUGUAGCGGUGGAAUGCGUAGAGAUCCGGAAGAACACCGGAGGCGAAGGCGGCUUGCUGGGCGUGAUCUGACGCUGAGGCGCGAAAGCGUGGGGAGCGAACAGG
rnacentral:rRNA from 1 species